rnacentral:rRNA from 1 species
CCACGAAAGUUAAACUUUUCUUAGUACGAAAGGACCAGAAAAGUAGUACCAAUUUUUUCCCCCCGGUACUAAAAAAAC